rnacentral:rRNA from 1 species
UCCACGCCCUAAACGAUGAACACUAGUCGUCGGGAUGCUAGUCAUCUUGGUGAUGCACUUAACAGAUUAAGUGUUCCGCCUGGGGAGUACGGUCGCAAGAUUAAAACUCAAAGGAAUAGACGGGGACCCGCACAAGUGGUGGAGCAUGUGGUUUAAUUCGAAGAUACGCGAAGAACCUUACCUAGCCUUGACAUUGAUUGAAUUCCGCAGAGAUGUGGAAGUGCCCUUGGGGA